UACGUAGGGGGCAAGCGUUAUCCGGAUUUACUGGGUGUAAAGGGAGCGUAGACGGUUAUGCAAGUCAGAAGUGAAAGCCCAAAGCUCAACUUCGGGACUGCUUUUGAAACUGUGUAACUAGAGUGCAGGAGGGGUAAGCGGAAUUCCUAGUGUAGCGGUGAAAUGCGUAGAUAUUAGGAGGAACACGGGUGGCGAAGGCGGCCUGCUGGACUACAACUGACGUUGAGGCCCGAAAGCGUGGGGAGCAAACAGG
rnacentral:rRNA from 1 species